CAAGACUUUUUAAAUGCCUGGAGAGUUUGGAGAGGGUUUGGAAGGAAUAAACUUGCCAGAAACUUCUGGCAAGCACACUCCCUGCAACAGCCGGCAACAGGAUAUCCAAAUGGAUUUCUGGACACCAAGCUACAAAAAACACUCACGCCUUUAAGAGGGCCAACAAGAAUAUAUGAAAAUUUACCAUGUUCUUCAAUGGGUCUGAAGAAAUUCUUUAAUCAGAACAGAAGUUCCUACGAGACAUGUAAAUACGAUUUAUUUCUGCAUUGUUCUAAACAUGGCAGAACUAAUAUUUCCUAAACAUCAGUUUAAUAACAUCCUCCUCUCCUGCAAAUGUGUUCACAACUGAAGUCUGACAAAUAACUCCUCUGUUUCCACAAAGGCCACAGUUGUGAAGGAAGCAGCCAAUACUCAAAACAGCAGAGUCCAGCUCCAAAACAAUCUUCAAAUAUCAGGGGAUACACCUUGGACGAGAAGAAGUAUUUGCAGUGAGGGGAUUGGAAAUAUUAGGGUCAUUAAGGUCACUAUGAUCUCAAAACAGGGUAGGAAUCCAUAUUUUGGCUAUUUGCUGCAGUAAUCUGAAGAUAAAUCAUUUCAGAGACAGUUUCUUGAGAAACCAAAAAUCUGCCCCCAAUUUAACUUUUCUAUGGAUGUCCCUGUCAUAAAGUACACAGAUUUGCAACAGCUGGUCUUUAGAAAUUCAGAUAGGUGAACUCAUUUGAGAGGCUUGACCAGGGUGAGGAUGGGAUAAACUGCAGAGAGCAAUUCCAUUUUCACUCUUGGUAUCAGGCUAAGUUUUUGUAGUACCUGCUGCUAGAGACAUUAUCUACUCAUAACUCUUAGCUGAGAUACUGCAUACUCUCUGAAGCUAAACCUCCUCACAUGUCACUGUUCUAUUCAGUUUUUCACACUGUUAGUAAUGACAUCUGUAACUGGUACGUUGAAAGGCUUUCCAAAAAGAAACCAUUUUCCCCUAACUAGCAGAAACUACAAAAGGCAUGAACUACGGCACUACAGAAGGAAGAUACCAUAAUAAAAAGUAAUUACAUCCUGGAAUUAAGCCUGUCAUAUACAGCCAACUCUGACCAUAAGCAUCAGGAGGCUGAGAAAGUACAGUUUCUAGAGCGCUCCAGCUCCCCAGCACCAGUAAGAGCCUCCACAGAUGCUGACAAACCUGGACAUGCUCCUGCAAUGGUAAUUAAGCUUCAAGAUACUAAGGCAUCAAGUACAUAUUGUUUCUCUACAAAACUAGUCCCAGACAUAAACAACAGAAGAAACUGGCAGAGUAACAGAUAUUAGCCCUCACAUCCCUAAGGUGGCUCUUUUCACAACGAGAGGCACCCUCCACUUUUCUGCUAACAGAAAAGCAAAUUAAACACUGUCUGCAGUUCAAAAUCCAAAUGCUUUAAAAUAUUCUCAAACAGAUAAAUACAUCACAAUCUAUGUUAACAUGGGAUCAACCUUCACACUUGCUUUUGAAAAUAUUUUUUGUAAUUCAGAGAGAUUUUUAAUCUUUAUCUACUGAAUAAAAAAGGAAAAUGAGAAAGACUUUCUUCAGCAGUUUCACACGCCCAUCAGUACCACAACUUUAAAGAUCUAGUAUGCAAGAGAAAACAAAUCACCUGUGAUUGGCACACUACAUAACCUUUUAAUCUAUUUUUUUCCUGACAACAAUAUUUAAAAAUAUAAUCUUAAAAUAGACUAAGAAGAGUUUUGGUUCACUGGUUAUACUCUAUGAAUGUCUUCACAUGUAUGAUCUUAGAAUAGGUCAGUUGGAAGGGACGUACAAUGAUUAUCUAGUCCUACUGCAAUCUUGAAAACAGCCUUAAAUAUAAAAACCAAAGAAACUCCCCAAAACCAACACGCUGCCAAACAUGUAGCUGCUUCACCACUGAACUAGCAAAGCUUCAUGAUUCCAUUGGGUUUCUCCUUUGGCCAGUCCUACAUGUCUUCCAGAAGUCCUCGAUGGACUCAGGCAAGUGUUCAUUCAGCAUAGCCUGUUCCUAAAACACAGUGGCUACCGACAACUUCCAAAGCAUCCUAUCUGUGACUCCUAAACAUCGCUCUGACCUGGGAGGAAAGCAACUCUCAGUUUGCAUACUGGUUCAAACCACAGGCAUCCACUGCAAUAUCCUGCUUCCAAUAUUGUUAUACACUCCAAAAUAAAAAUCAACAAGUUGAGAAUCAUAGCAAUGCUACUGUUCCCUUGCAAAGCAGUUUACAGUGCUUUAUCACCACAAAUCUCCUGUAAUACUUUAAGCCUGUAACAGAAAUCUGACUAAUCAAAAACACUUGUUAUAAUCAAAAGCACUUUUGUGAUGGGAAACCAAAAGCACACUCCAACCAAAAGCAAGACACUUAUUAAAAAUAUAUAUAUAAUUAGGUCACUGUUCUGGAAUUCCACCCCGUAUUUUGGAAACAGUGACCAAACUGAUAUGCCACCAUCUUCCCAUCUGCUGAUUAACUAAAUUUAUGUUUCACUUGUAACUACUUUGAUUUACUAAUUCAGGUAGUUUCCAAAAUGGCAGUCAGAACUGACUUACAUAUGAUUAAUUCUUAAUUAUUGUAAUUUUAAUCUAAAAUAAGGUUAUUUUGCAGCCUACCAAUUGACUCAAAUACGAUUGUCUGAGUUCCACAGUCUGGUUAACGUACAUGGUCUUUAUUUCAGCAUGGCUUGGCUGAAAUCACUUAGCAGCUAUUUGAAGACACUUAAAUAUGUGCUAUGUCACAGGAACAACAAAACAACUUACAAAUAUCUUUGACGUGGGAAGGUGGAAUAAACACCAUAGAAGUUGAUGUAAGAGAAGGCACAAUAUUUAAAAUUACAUCUUUGUUUAUAAUUUCUAAAAGGAAAUGUCAUAUUUACUUUUUAAAUUUCAUUUUAAAAUAAAAAAAAAUUAGGAAACAGCCAACCAGCAACUGAACACAGGAAAAAAGGAUUACAUUUACUGAUUAGUAUUUCAACUUGGCUUCUCCUGUAAUAUUUCCUGAUCACUUCACUAAUAAGAAAUAUAUUCUCUAAUCAUGCCUGUAAAAUGAAGUAGGUUAAACUGAAUUUCAUAAAUUAAACAAGUUAUUUGGAUAUUCUUACAAAUAGACAUUAAGAGUUCUGAAUUGAACUAUUCAUGACAUUGCUUAAUACUUACAGCAUGCAGCUUCUACAAUAUCAUUUCUACCUAAGGAAUGCAUGGAGAAAACACAUUAAAAUAAAAUAGAAAAUUUUGAAGAACUGAAGCAAUUGCUCUUCCCAACAAGAAAUAUAACUAACAUCUGUUGCAGAACCUGCUUGGCACAUAUACAGUUUUGUGAAGGAUUUUUGUUGUAGAUAAAUAUUUUUCUACAAUUCCUAUUAUGCACCACUCAACUCAGACAUUUACUUUAAUUAUACUCCAAGGGGUCCUUUCAUAUCCAUUAAAGAAAGGCAAUUUGUUGCCUAAAAGAAUGCAUACAUGCUUCUAAAUUUCAACUGUGAUUCAUCUGUCUUCUGACAUGUGAAAAAGCAAGGAAAUACCUAUAAUUAAUGGACUUAUAUCUGAAAAAAUGUCUAAUAAAACUCUCAAUGCUCAACACAUUAUUUUGUUAAAGCCUUAAAUACGCUUUUCUUGAAAUAAGGAAUGGUCUUAUGAUUCAGCGUUUUACUUUCAUUUCACAUCUCAAUAAAAAGAAUAACAGCACAGUAAAGCCUUUAGGAAAGCAAGAAAUUUCUAUUUUAACAUUGGCAAAACUGACCAAAUAAGGCUCCCAUUUUGCAUACACAUCAAACACAAGGCAUCCUUUUUUCAGGGACAAAGUAACAACCAUGUGACAUUUUCCCUCCUUUUUCUUUUUUUUUUGUAAUUUUGUUUUCCACUAUUCCUAAGUAAAGAAUCUGAAAAACACACACUAAGCUCUUGAUACAGGUUUGGUUUGGGGUUUUUUGUUGGGUGGGGGUUUUUUUGGUGAAAAUAUGUGUAAGCUGUGCACAUUUAACAAAAUUUUGUAUUCAGCAUUUCACACAGACUCAAAGUAGCAAUAUCAAGACUUGUCUGCUAUGAUAAUACAUUGGAAGUUUUUUGGGUUUUUUUUUGAAAGAGAAUGCAGUAGAAACAUAGUUAAAUGCUACUGUAAGCAUAUAAAGAUGUACUCUACUGAGAUAUCAAGCAAUUGGUAAUUAUGGAUGAGGAGAAAAUGAGGGUACUGGCAAUAAAAGAGAAGAAACGCUAACUCUAAAUACACAAAAGAUUCAGCUCAGGUCCAAAAGUCUAUCAACAUGGGCUCAAGUGGAGAACGAAGAGUUACAUGUAUAAUCUGCUGUAAAGCAAACUAACUGGCAUUGUAUUCACUAUUCUUAUGAAACUGGUUAAGGAACAGUUCUUAAAUUAUAUUUACAGUCAAAAUCCUCAAUUAACUUUAAACCAAAUUUGGACAUUUUAAGAAGCUAAAAAGUAGUUAAAUAAAAAAUACUUAAAUAAUGUGAAAAGGCAUUUCUGUUGAUAGAAAGUAUAAUCUGUAUUG